GACAGAGGGUGCAAACGUUGUUCGGAAUUACUGGGCGUAAAGCGCGUGUAGGCAGCUCAGAAAGUCGGAUGUGAAAGCCCUGGGCUUAACCUAGGAAGUGCAUUCGAAACUUCUGAGCUUGAGUUUGGGAGAGGGAUGCGGAAUUCCAGGUGUAGCGGUGAAAUGCGUAGAUAUCUGGAGGAACACCGGUGGCGAAGGCGGCAUCCUGGACCAACACUGACGCUGAGUGAGCGAAAGCCAGGGGAGCAAACGGG
rnacentral:rRNA from 1 species